GACGAACGCUGGCUGCGUGCUUAACACAUGCAAGUCGAACGCUGAAGCCCCAGCUUGCUGGGGUGGAUGAGUGGCGAACGGGUGAGUAACACGUGAGUAACCUGCCCCUGACUUCGGGAUAAGCCCGGGAAACUGGGUCUAAUACCGGAUACGACUAUCGGACGCAUGUCUGGUGGUGGAAAGUUUUUUCGGUUGGGGAUGGGCUCGCGGCCUAUCAGUUUGUUGGUGAGGUAAUGGCUCACCAAGACGACGACGGGUAGCCGGCCUGAGAGGGCGAUCGGCCACACUGGGACUGAGACACGGCCCAGACUCCUACGGGAGGCAGCAGUGGGGAAUAUUGCACAAUGGGGGAAACCCUGAUGCAGCGACGCAGCGUGCGGGAUGACGGCCUUCGGGUUGUAAACCGCUUUCAGCAGGGAAGAAGCCUUCGGGUGACGGUACCUGCAGAAGAAGUACCGGCUAACUACGUG
rnacentral:rRNA from 1 species